rnacentral:rRNA from 1 species
AUGGAGGAUAGGGUCAAAAUUGAAGUAAGUCGUUAUGAUUCAAGCAAGGGAUGUAUAAUUUAUAGACUUCCCCAUAAGGAUUCGAAGCGUAUCGAAGACUCGAAGGAUAGCGAAGAUUUGAAGGAUAGCAAAGAUUUGAAGGACCCACAAGGUCGGGUGGUUUUUUGGUCCUCGGCCAGUACUUGUGGAUUCAAAAGCUCAAGAAAAGCAUCACCCUAUGCUGGUCAAAGAACAGCAGUAGAUGCUAUUCGUACAGUAGGUUUGCAACAAGCAGAAGUUAUGGUAAAGGGCGCUGGUAGUGGAAGAGAUGCCGCAUUACGAGUCAUUGCUAAAAGUGAGGAGGUAGCAGGAUCCACUCAAACACUACAGUGGAAGUGUGUUGAAUCAAGAGUAGAUUGUAAGCGCCUUUAUUAUGGUCGUUUCAUUCUGUCCCCGCUUAGAAAAGGUCAAGCGGACACCGUCGGUAUUGCCUUGCGAAGAGCUUCACUUGGAGAAAUAGAAGGAACAUGUAUCACACGCGCAAAAUUUGGAAGUGUGGCACACGAGUAUUCUACAAUAGCAGGUAUUGAAGAAUCCGUACAAGAAAUUUUACUAAAUUUGAAAGAAAUUGUAUUGAGAAGUAAUCUCUAUGGAGUUAGAGACGCAUCCAUUUGCGUCAAAGGUCCUAGAUACAUAACUGCUCAAGAUAUCAUCUUACCGCCUUCCGUAGAAAUCGUUGAUACGGCACAACCUAUAGCUAACUUGAUAGAGCCCAUUGAUUUCUGUAUUGAUUUACAGAUCAAGAGAGAUCGUGGAUAUCAGACAGAACUCGGAAAGAACUAUCAAGAUGGAAGUUAUCCUAUAGAUGCUGUAUCCAUGCCUGUUCGAAAUGUGAAUUAUAGUAUUUUUUCUGGUGGGAAUGUAAAUGAAAAACAUGAGAUACUUUUUCUAGAAAUAUGGACUAAUGGAAGUUUAACCCCUAAGGAAGCACUUUAUGAGGCUUCUCGUAAUUUGAUUGAUUUAUUUCUUCCUUUUCUACACGCGGAGGAAGAGGGCGCUAGUUUCGAAGAAAAUAAAAACAGGUUUACUCCACCCCUUUUUACUUUUCAAAAAAGAUUAACUAAUCUAAAGAAAAACAAAAAAGGAAUUCCAUUGAAUUGUAUUUUUAUUGAUCAAUUAGAAUUGUCUUCUAGAACGUAUAAUUGUCUAAAAAGGGCCAAUAUACAUACACUAUUGGACCUUUUGAGUAAGACUGAAGAAGAUCUUCUGAGAAUUGACAGUUUUUGUAUGGAAGAUAGAAAACAUAUAUGGGACACUCUAGAGAAGCAUCUCCCAAUUGAUUUACUUAAGAAUAAACUCUCGUUUUAA